ACACCUCAACAAUAUUUUCUUGGUCAUUGGUGCACAAAGUAUUAAAUUCAGCUUCCUCUUGCUGAUAAACUUCUUCAUUCAGUAAUUCUUCAUCUUCAAUAUCUACACAAUUAUCAUCAUUAUCAGGCAUUUUGAAAAGGUCACGAGGAUUUGUCUUCACAACAACAAGCGAAUCAUUAUCGACCAUGUCGUCCAAGUAAUAGACUUGUUCCAACUGAGAUGCCAAAACAAAUUGCUCAUUUGCUUCAUCUUCAAUAUCUACAAAAUUAUCAUCAUUAUCAGGCAUUUUGAAAAGGUCACAAGGAUUUGUCUUCACAACAACAAGCCAAUCAUUAUCGACCAUGUCGUCCAAGUAAAAGACUUGUUCUGUCAAAGAUGCCAACACAAAUGGCUCAUUUGUAUUCAAGGCACACCGAGUAUUCACACUUGUGAAGCCAUAUUUGUCAAUCUUAUAUCCUCUUCCUAAGCGA
rnacentral:lncRNA from 1 species